rnacentral:ncRNA from 2 species
AUAUUAUCACGAGCGCAGGGGAGGGAAUCGGCCCCGUGAUCCUGCCGGCAACCAACUGGAUAUUUCGACCUAUUGAUAUAUCUAGGGAUGGUGCCCCAUCCGACCCACGUCUUGGGGAAGAUAAAGA